ACCAUCAAGAACUAAGAGUUUUAAUCAGAUCAGAAAAAGGAAUAUUCGUCCGAUCACAAACCUACAAAUCAGACAUAACACUACGUCAGCGGUGCUCUGCCAACCCCACAGCUCUUUUUUCGGAGUCACACCUUUGUGUGGCGCUCUGUUGGAUUGUGGAGGUACUCCCUGAAGUGUCCAGGGUGCAACCCCACCACGGCUGUCUGUACAUCAAGGGCACUGAAAAUAUGCAGGGGGUGGGGGAGGAGACACCUUUGAUUGGAAGAUGGCUCUUUAAGUGCUUGCCAUUCCCAUGCAUCGACAAGUCUCACACCUCAGUCACUGGUACCCCAUAGAGAUGACCGUUUGAAAGAAACAGACAAUGGCUCUGCAAUGGCCCAACCUUAGAGCACCAGCACACACUCCUGUGAAUAACAUGGCCUUUAUUCAGAAUGCGUUAGAGACCUUGCCUAAACAUGACAACAUACGUAGGAAAUGGAAAUCCAUGAAUAUGGCCAAAGACAACAGGAUACAGAAUGUCAAAUGACCACACUAAAUUUGUCUUUCGAAAACCUUGGAUUUACUGCAUGGCACAGCCUCAGUCGUGGUGAUGUGAGGCAUGACAUCUGCAUGACACAGUGGUGAAGGUUUUGUUUUUAGUGCAUCUUCUAAAUCCUAUUCUUGGAGGUAAUGUUUUCAAAUGGUUAUGUGCCCUCAUGUGGCGUUAUAUACAAUUACAAUUUGCACAUUACUGUGUGUAUUAUCCACAGGUUACAACAAGCAGAUUUAAAAAAAAAAAAACUACAGCUGGGGUGUAAAAUUUGCAUAUAUCCUGGAGAUAAAUCAUAUACAAAUACAUUCAUUUAAAUGAAUCCAGUGUUUUUGUAUUAUCCUUGUUAUUUGAACCAAACUCUUAAAAGUUGAACAGGCCAACAUACUGCACGAUCACUGCAUGCCAGUCAGAGUAUUUGUCGCAUGUUUUGGCACAGCAAUACCUACAGUAGCUGGAAUAAAUGACUUAUUAUGCCUGAAUUACCUGAAGACUUCAUCUGCCGCUGUGGUUGCUAUGGCUAUUGGAGACAAGUAUCUUUGAGGUGGGCAUGUUUUUGAUUGGGUCAUUUUUGGCCGUUCUUAGUAGAGAAUGGCUUUUUAGUUGGCCCAUUCUUGUGAAUUUUCGGUGGUGGAUUGACACGUGAUUGACUGUUAUUGCCAAGCGUGGUCGUCGUGGCAUCGUUGAGUGACAUUAAUUGGCAAACAAGUUGUGUUCAAAACAAGGAAGUGAGCGCAGAGUAGGCUUCAUGCUUUUGCACUUUUGCUUUCAGCUAUAUAGAAUGCUGUCAGACUCAGACUGUAGCAGUAAGAGUGAUAUUUGUGCACUCUUGCUCGUCGUUAUUUUUGCAAAUGUACUUUGUUAAAAAAAAUGUUUUGGAUCAAGCGGGUCAUUACAUGGUAUUAAGGGAUACCAAGGCCAAACAUUUACGCUGUUUGAAACUGCGUGGUCCAACAGGCAUACCUAGAAUACGUUUCUCAGAAAUCGCUGGAAUGGAAGUCAAAACCAAUCAUGACUGCCUCGUGGAACUUACCUGGACGUUCCACAAUUCCCAUCCUCAGAGCUUAUCAUUAUGCAGAGUUUCCCAAGGUCAUUGGCGCAGUGGACUGCACGCAGAUCCCCAUCAAAUCACCCUCUGGCCCGAACAAGGCAGAUUUUGUCAGUCGAAAAGGCUUUCACAGCAUUAAUGUGCAGAUGAUCUUUGACUCCACCUGCCAUAACAAAUGUUGAGGCCAAGUGGCCGGGCUCUGUCCACGACUCCGGGAUAUUCAGAGAGUCUACACUGUGCCACAGCUUCGAGCAAGGGCUGCGGGUGCCACCAGACUGGGCAUGUGACAUCACUGUGGCAUGUGCAGUGCUCCACAAUGUGGCUACAAUCAGGAAGGAGAGGAUCCCAGUUAUCAUGGACCAUCCUGAGGAUGACCUAGAGCCAGUCCACUUGGAUGAGCAGACCGGACCGGCUGCAAGGGACAGAAUUGUCCACCAUCAUUUUAGUUAGGUGUUCAGAUGACUUUGGGUAAUGUUGGACUCAUUUCAUGUUUUUCUCUAUGUUUGCAUGUUUCAUUUAUGUGGUUAAUGGGUAUAUGGUUUGCCACUCUUUUUGCUUUUAAGUUACCCAUUAAUAGUCCAUCCCCACCUUAUCAAUCACCGUAUGGUUUGCCGCCUCUACUGCCAAGGACAAAGGCAGACUGCAGCAGAUCAUUCGGUCAGCCGAGAAGGCCAUCGACUGCGACCUGCCGUCCUUCCCAGACCUGUUCCACUCUAAGACCAGCAAGAGAGCAGGCAGGAUCAUUGCUGACCCUUCCCAUCCCGGCCAUCACCUCUUCCGGAGACUCCCAUCCGGCAAAAGGUUCCGGUACAUUAAAACCAAAACCUUGCGCCACCUGAACAGUUUCUUCCUCACAAACAAGCCCCCUGCACCACACUGACUCUGGGACCCCUAAGCCCCCCCCCCCCCCCUGCUUUUUAUUCAACACAUACAGUGAGUGCUAACAUUAUCUGGAUGUGUGAUCUUGCCCAUUUCAGACUUAAAGUUUAUUGUUACUUGUUGAAGCCAUUAAAGAGCGCUGCCUAUCAGAACACAAUCUCAGUUGCAUUUGUAUAAGCAAAUGCUUUACAAUUUGUCUUGAAUUGUAACUGUACUGAUUAAAAUAAAUUAAAUAUUAAAACCAUACCUGUGUGAGUGCCUUGUCCUUCUAAAUGCAUUCCGUUAUCACUAUUGGUAGGCUGAUUGGUAAGAUGGUUCAAUAUUUCUAUCGCUAUAUGUGCAAAAGUAUCUGAUGAUAUUGUACUAGAUAGGCACAUAUCCUUACAAUUUACUUGCAAGUAAUCUGGCACUUUGUCCGUCUUUUAUGAUAGACAAAUAUACUCCCUGCAUUCAUUUAUUGACGUUGCACAAUGCACUGUUACUUGUAGCGUGCAUAAAAUGCGUGCAUCCUCCAAGCUGUCAACACCAGAGGUGAAUUGUUCGUAGCUGUUGUACACUCUGUUGUCCAGGCCUUUUGGUUGGGACCUCAUUAAUCAAUUUUUUUCCCUUUUUUUGUAUUUUUUAUGUCUGCCUUCAAGAUGGUGAAGUUGAAAUGUGUACAGAUUUCUUUGUUUGGAUAUUUUAGUUUUUGCAAAAAUCAUUGCACUGUGUUUCAUUUUAGCAGUCACACAGCUGCUCACCAUGGCCGGAGGGUGGACAGUGGAGGUUCACUGGUGAGCGUGAUGUGGGGCAGGACAGCAUUCAGCACAUCACCAUUUGUCUCCACGUCGCUCUGGUACGCCUCGUCAGCCUCAUCUGGAUCGAGCUGCCCAGGCUGAACCACCUCUUCUACUGGACCAGGUCCAUCGUCAGCAAUGUCCAGAGAGAAGGGCCCUGACUCCCCCUGUGUUCUGGCUGAACAAGUACUCCAACCCGAGCAACUCGUCAGAAGGCACAUCAGCAGGGGCCUGGAAGUUCUCCUCCACCGCCUCCCCAAACAGCUGCUGUCAACAGGUGUUGAGGCAGUCAAUCAGCAGUGCCGAGUAGAUUCUGUGGUGCCGUCCUUUGCCACCAAACACGCCAUCCGAGCUCCUGUCUGAUUUCCACCGUGCAAUGCCACUUAUCAGGUGUUUUGAAGAGGCUCACUCCGCUCUCGUCCAGGCCAGCGGGACCUUUCAGCUCCUCAAUGGCCAGGUGGAUGAGGCGGAAUGUCUCCUGAGCCCUGAGUGGGACCUUCCACAUGUGGUGUUUGAGCUGCUCCCUGGAAAUGUGAUGGCGGACCACAUCCUCAUCUGAGAGGGAGAUUUCAGUGUUGCCGGGUCUCUGGCUCCGACAGCCUUGAUGAGCAGCUCCAGUUCUUCACGGUUGUAGGCCAGCACUGCCUCAGCUAGCGCAGACUUGAACGCAUCGUACAUGGAGUUAGAGUCUGUGUGGAUGGUUGCAUCAAACCGGUGGAUCCAGUGAAAGAUGUCCAGACGCACAACCAUCCCACUGUCCACAGCUGUUGGGCCCUCCACACGGCAACACCCACGGCCCAUGUACAACAUUUUGGGGACCGGUUGAUUCUCAUUCUUCACACUCCCUAGACAGCUUCACCACCUAAACAAUAUGUCAAAUUUGCAUGAUAUGCUUACCUUUCUUUAACUAAAAUGUUUUCUAUUGUACACUAUGGCAUUAUGUUUUGAUUUACAUACUUUCUUGGUGGAAUCCAUUUUCGGCCCAGUGCCAAAAGGGGAGAGGAUCUGACUGCGGUAAUCCUGUACAUUGUUGGCCGAAGCAGGAAGCAGGAAGGGAAGGGAAGCUCUCUUGGAGGAGGUGUAGCCUGGAAUGUGUGCCCUAAUGCAGAGACGAUCUCUCCAGGUUCCACUACAGUCAUGAGGAGUGUGGUGUACAGGACCCUAUGUUGAAGGUACUCCUCAGCAUAAUUCUUCUAUAGCUAAAGCCACACAUUGACCAUAGUGUUCCUUUUGGUCUGAUCCAGGCGCACAACAUUCAUAUCCACACCACACGUGUAAGUAAAACCACAAUCAAUAUGUGGAGGUUGUUUGAGCUACUAUUUAAACAUUUAUAAAAUGCACAUAUUAAGUUCAGUAAACAUGGAUUGAUGAGCCUUUGUUAAGUUGUGAAAAAAAUUGCGGGAUCCCACAUCACCCGUGGCCUCUUGAGCAGUGAAGUGUUGUCCCUGUUAGAUUUGAACAGGGAGUCGUCUUUGAGCCUGGACAUUUCGGCAGAUGGGUUUUUCCACAGACGCACCCAACCCUCUAGCUCCACCUGCAACACCCAUAACACGUACAAAACAACAUUUGGUUAUAAAUUGUGUACAAAAAAUGUUUAAACAUUGUUUAAAGAUUGUUCUCAUUUACAUUGCGCAUAAUGUGAAUGUCACUUAAAAGGGAGUCACUCUAAAGGUUAUUCCAUGGGAGAAUCAUGAUCCUGGGUUGUGGACAGCGACUGGAUAGUGGACUCAUGCCGCUCGGGCUAAACCGCAGACUCUGGAAGAUUGGACCAAUUGGACUGAGGCAGCUUGGGGAUGUCUGGGCCGGGAACCCUGGGACUUCAGACUGACUGCGAGACUCACCCAUAAAUGGGGACUCCACAGAUUGGCUUGAGAAUAACAGCUCCGUAUCAUCUGGCCAUGAUGAAGGGUCACACUUGGAAGUGCUUGCCUGAUAUUGCUGGACAACAAAUGUAUUGUACUGUUAUGCCUAACUACCUCAUAUCACCUUGUAAAAAUCUAGAUAAACACAUUCAGACAAUGUCAGAAAAUAUAAAAUAUCAAUAGUUCUGCUGUUCCUGUUUCAUAACACUUUUUUUUUUUGUCAUGUUCCUUGUCAAUGUAUUUCCUGAACCUCUUCUGCACACUCGUGAUGUGGGUCACUGGCGUGUGCAACCACCUCCUCACAGAACUGUGUGCCUUCAGUAUUAUCUCCCCGUUCAUCACUGAAUUGCUCUUGCCUGUCCUUUUGGGUGGGGUGCUGACUGUACAGUUCCCACAUUUCCUCAAAGGUGUGAUUCUCAAACCCUCUGACCUUAGAUACACCUGUUGAUGUUGGCCUCGAGGAGAAUGGAGACUUGUGGGAAGCUCUCUGUGUAGUCUGAGGUAGUCUUUUACCCAUUGGUUCACCUUCUUAUAUUUCUAUGUGGGUUUGUCACCUCUACUCUGUGUUUGCCACGUAUGCUGGAAUCAUAUAUAUUAAUUUAGUACAGUCAUUAACAUCACUGCAAUUGUGAUGAGUAAAAAACGUUGCAAAGACGAAUAAACUAAUAUAACCUAAUAAUAGCCAUAGUUUUAAGUAAACAGACAUACAGGUCAUUAUUUUUAAAAUGCAUAGCCAACAAGGGUAUCAAAUGUUAUAUGCUUACUACUUCAUGAAGCCCACAUCAAAUUUGCUACAGUCCAGUAGAGUGGUGCAUCAUCUUAAUUGCACCAGCAGCUUUCCCAGUCACAGCUGGAGCGCCACCGCACGGGUUCCCUCUGCUCCCAGGAGCUUGUCUGCGUGAGCCAGGGCAGUGGACAGCUCUUGGUAGAUCCAACAGAUCUUUAAUUUUUUUUCAGUGCAGGCUGAUGUUAUUGUGGCUGGCUCAUACUCAAAAACUGAGUAGUCUGCUGGAGGGAGAACUGAUGGUUGUCAUGGUGUUGGGGGUAGGUCCUCUGAUGAAAUCGAUGUGGUCUUUAAAACAGCAGAUGUCAGUUUUAUUGACCAGAGGUUGACGAGUCUCUCUUGGCAGUGGAUGAAAUUACAGUCUUUGUGUUGAUUUUUGGUGAAGGAAUACAUGUUUUGCUGAGAACCUAAGGUCCUGCGGUGUAAAAUCAAUCAGCAAAGCCUACAAAUAAAUCUCUUCAGGGCAGGACUUCAGAGCGAUGAGGUAACCACAACCAGAAAUACUUCACCAGUGUGUAUAUCAAUCUGUUGUGCUGAGCACCUGUCUUGUUGAACUGGCACAAUAGCCUUAACUCUCUAUUUGACGGCACAGUGUGUUAACCUAGUGUGUUCUGUAGAGCUAUAUACAGUUGCAAUCAAAAUGAUUCAACCCCCAUUGCACAUUAGGUUUAUUGGCCAAAAUAUACAAUUUCUCAGCUGUUUGCAAUAAACAAAUUACACAAU